rnacentral:rRNA from 1 species
GAUGAACGCUGGCGGUGUGCCUAAUACAUGCAAGUCGAGCGAACAGACGAGGAGCUUACUCCUCUGACGUUAGCGGCGGACGGGUGAGUAACACGUGGAUAACCUACCUAUAAGACUGGGAUAACUUCGGGAAACCGGAGCUAAUACCGGAUAACAUGUUGAACCGCAUGGUUCAACAGUGAAAGACGGUCUUGCUGUCACUUAUAGAUGGAUCCGCGUCGCAUUAGCUAGUUGGUAAGGUAACGGCUUACCAAGGCAACGAUGCGUAGCCGACCUGAGAGGGUGAUAGGCCACACUGGAACUGAGACACGGUCCAGACUCCUAAGGGAGGCAGCAGUAGGGAAUCUUCCGCAAUGGGCGAAAGCCUGACGGAGCAACGCCGCGUGAGUGAAGAAGGUCUUCGGAUCGUAAAACUCUGUUAUUAGGGAAGAACAAAUGUGUAAGUAACUAUGCACGUCUUGACGGUACCUAAUCAGAAAGCCACGGCUAACUACGUG